UACGUAGGGGGCAAGCGUUGUCCGGAAUCAUUGGGCGUAAAGAGCGUGUAGGCGGCCAGGUAGGUCGGUUGUGAAAACUGGAGGCUCAACCUUCAGAGGUCGACCGAAACCAUCUGGCUAGAGUCCGGGAGAGGAGAGUGGAAUUCCUGGUGUAGCGGUGAAAUGCGCAGAUAUCAGGAAGGACACCCGUGGCGAAAGCGGCUCUCUGGAACGGUACUGACGCUGAGACGCGAAAGCGUGGGGAGCGAACAGG
rnacentral:rRNA from 1 species